UGGGGAAUAUUGGACAAUGGGCGCAAGCCUGAUCCAGCCAUGCCGCGUGAGUGAUGACGGCCUUAGGGUUGUAAAGCUCUUUCGCACGCGACGAUAAUGACGGUAGCGUGAGAAGAAGCCCCGGCUAACUUCGUGCCAGCAGCCGCGGUAAUACGAAGGGGGCUAGCGUUGUUCGGAAUCACUGGGCGUAAAGGGUGCGUAGGCGGAUUCUUAAGUCAGGGGUGAAAUCCCGAGGCUCAACCUCGGAACUGCCUUUGAUACUGGGGAUCUUGAGUCCGGAAGAGGUGAGUGGAACUGCGAGUGUAGAGGUGAAAUUCGUAGAUAUUCGCAAGAACACCGGUGGCGAAGGCGGCUCACUGGUCCGGAACUGACGCUGAGGCACGACAGCGUGGGGAGCAAACAG
rnacentral:rRNA from 1 species